UACGUAGGGGGCAAGCGUUGUCCGGAAUCAUUGGGCGUAAAGAGCGUGUAGGCGGCCCGAUAAGUCCGCUGUGAAAGUCCAGGGCUCAACCCUGGAAUGCCGGUGGAUACUGUCGGGCUCGAGUUCGGAAGAGGUGAGUGGAAUUCCUGGUGUAGCGGUGAAAUGCGCAGAUAUCGGGAGGAACACCUGUGGCGAAGGCGGCCCCCUGGUUGGAUACUGACGCUGAUACGCGAAAGCGUGGGGAGCAAACAGG
rnacentral:rRNA from 1 species